rnacentral:rRNA from 1 species
CCUACGGGAGGCUGCAGUAAGGAAUAUUGGUCAAUGGAGGAAACUCUGAACCAGCCAUCCCGCGUGAAGGAUGAAGGGGCUCUGCCUUGUAAACUUCUUUUGUCUGGGGCGAAAAAGCUCGAUUUAUCGAGAACUGACGGUACCAGAAGAAUAAGCACCGGCUAACCCCGUGCCAGCAGCCGCGGCAAUACGGAGGAUGCAAGCGUUAUCCGGAUUCACGGGUUUUAAGGGGUGCUUAUAAGUCAUAGGUGAAAGGCUGUGGCUUAACCAUGGAAUUGCCAUUGAUACUGCAGAGCUGGAAUGAGGUUGAGGUUGGCGGAAUGUGACAUGUAGCGGUGAAAUGCUUAGAUAUGUCAUGGAACACCGAUUGCGAAGGCAGCUGACUGGACCUAUAUUGACGCUGAGGCACGAAAGCGUGGGGAGCGAACAGGAUUAGAUACCCCAGUAGUC